rnacentral:tRNA from 1 species
GGCGCUAUGGCGAAAUGGACUACCGCGUCGGUUUCCGGAGCCGAAGAUUAUGGGUUCGAGUCCCAUUAGCGUCG